rnacentral:pre_miRNA from 9 species
UGUCAUGCUUUUCCACAGCUUUCUUGAACUUCUUCUUCUUCUUCUUCUUCUUCUUAGAUUUCUUUCUCAUUGCCUAUAUCUUUCUUGAUGUGGCACAGAAUAAGUUCAAGAAAGCUGUGGGAGAACAUGGCAA